GAUUACGACCAUACCGCGUUGAAAGCACGCCAUCCCGUCCGAUCUGGCAAGUUAAGCAACGCUGGGCUUCCUUAGUUUUCACAGACUCAUAAACCAAAAAUGCCUGGUGAAAUUUGAUUGCCUGGG